GAUGAACGCUGGCGGCGUGCCUAAUACAUGCAAGUCGAGCGAACAGACGAGGAGCUUGCUCCUCUGACGUUAGCGGCGGACGGGUGAGUAACACGUGGAUAACCUACCUAUAAGACUGGGAUAACUUCGGGAAACCGGAGCUAAUACCGGAUAACAUGUUGAACCGCAUGGUUCAACAGUGAAAGACGGUCUUGCUGUCACUUAUAGAUGGAUCCGCGCCGCAUUAGCUAGUUGGUAAGGUAACGGCCUACCAAGGCAACGAUGCGUAGCCGACCUGAGAGGGUGAUCGGCCACACUGGAACUGAGACACGGUCCAGACUCCUACGGGAGGCAGCAGUAGGAAAUCUUCCGCAAUGGGCGAAAGCCUGACGGAGCAACGCCGCGUGAGUGAAGAAGGUCUUCGGAUCGUAAAACUCUGUUAUUAGGGAAGAACAAAUGUGUAAGUAACUAUGCACGUCUUGACGGUACCUAAUCAGAAAGCCACGGCUAACUACGUG
rnacentral:rRNA from 1 species